rnacentral:rRNA from 1 species
AACGAACGCUGGCGGCAGGCUUAACACAUGCAAGUCGAGCGCCCCGCAAGGGGAGCGGCAGACGGGUGAGUAACGCGUGGGAAUCUACCCAUCUCUACGGAAUAACGCAUGGAAACGUGUGCUAAUACCGUAUACGUCCUUCGGGAGAAAGAUUUAUCGGAGAUGGAUGAGCCCGCGUUGGAUUAGCUAGUUGGUGGGGUAAGGGCCUACCAAGGCGACGAUCCAUAGCUGGUCUGAGAGGAUGAUCAGCCACACUGGGACUGAGACACGGCCCAGACUCCUACGGGAGGCAGCAGUGGGGAAUAUUGGACAAUGGGCGCAAGCCUGAUCCAGCCAUGCCGCGUGAGUGAUGAAGGCCCUAGGGUUGUAAAGCUCUUUCACCGGUGAAGAUGAUGACGGUAACCGGAGAAGAAGCCCCGGCUAACUUCGUGCCAGCAGCCGCGGUAAUAC